rnacentral:misc_RNA from 1 species
GAUGAAGAACGCAGCGAAAUGCGAUAAGUAAUGUGAAUUGCAGAAUUCAGUGAAUCAUCGAAUCUUUGAACGCACAUUGCGCCCGCCAGCACUCUGGCGGGCAUGCCUGUUCGAGCGUCAUUUCAACCAUCAAGCCCCCAGGGGCUUGUGCUGGGGCCCUGCGGCUGCCCGCAGGCCCUGUAAACCAGUGGCGGGCUCGCUAGUCACACCGAGCGCAGUAGCACAUCUCGCUCAGGGCGUGCGGCGGGCUCCUGCCGUGAAACCCCCCACUGUAACCCCAAAGGUUGACCUCGGAUCAGGUAGGAAUACCCGCUGAACUUAAGCAUAUCAAUAAGCGGAGGA